rnacentral:tRNA from 1 species
GGUCCCAUGGUGUAAUGGUUAGCACUCUGGACUUUGAAUCCAUCGAUCCGAGUUCAAAUGUCGGUGGGACCU